UGGGGAAUCUUCCGCAAUGGACGAAAGUCUGACGGAGCAACGCCGCGUGUAUGAUGAAGGUCUUCGGAUUGUAAAGUACUGUCAUUGGGGAAGAACGGUUUUCUUGAAAAGAUUGAGAAGACAUGACGGUACCCAAGGAGGAAGCCCCGGCUAACUACGUGCCAGCAGCCGCGGUAAUACGUAGGGGGCAAGCGUUGUCCGGAAUUAUUGGGCGUAAAGGGCGCGUAGGCGGGCCUUUAAGUCCGGUGUGAAAGAUCAGGGCUCAACCCUGAGAGUGCAUCGGAAACUGGAGGCCUUGAGGACAGGAGAGGAAAGUGGAAUUCCACGUGUAGCGGUGAAAUGCGUAGAUAUGUGGAGGAACACCAGUGGCGAAGGCGACUUUCUGGACUGUAACUGACGCUGAGGCGCGAAAGCGUGGGGAGCAAACAGGAUUAGAUACCCUGGUAGUCCACGCCGUAAACGAUGAGUGCUAGGUGUAGAGGGUAUCGACCCCUUCUGUGCCGCAGUUAACACAAUAAGCACUCCCGCCUGGGGAGUACGGCCGCAAGGUUGAAACU
rnacentral:rRNA from 1 species